UAAGAGGUCCCGCCUGCCCUGUGACGCUAAGUUUAACGGCCGCGGUAUUUUGACCGUGCGAAGGUAGCGCAAUCACUUGUCUCUUAAAUGGAGACCUGUAUGAAUGGCAUGACGAGGGCUUUACUGUCUCCUUUUUCAGGUCAAUGAACUUGAUCUUCUCGUGCAGAAGCGGGAAUAGUAACAUAAGACGAGAAGACCCUAUGGAGCUUUAGACACAAGACAGACCACGUUAAGCCUCCUUGCACGGGAGAGAAACUAAAUGCAGCAUCUGUUGUAUGUCUUUGGUUGGGGCGACCGCGGAAAAAAAUUUAACCUCCGCGUGGUACGGGAGUGCGAUCCGAAUAGACUCCUAGAGCCAAGAGCUACAGCUCUAAGCAACAGAACUUUUGACCAGUAUAGAUCCGGCAAAGCCGAUCAACGGACCGAGUUACCCUAGGGAUAACAGCGCAAUCUUCUUUUAGAGUUCAUAUCGACAAGCAGGUUUACGACCUCGAUGUUGGAUCAGGACAUCCUGAUGGUGCAGCCGCUAUCAAGGGUUCGUUUGUUCAACG
rnacentral:rRNA from 1 species